GCAGGACAGCCUGCCUCACUGUGACUAAGAACGUUGCUGAGCGAUUCCAGAAUGGCAUGUCCACAGAAGCUCAGAACAGUUAGGGAAAACCUGUAGUGAUCAGGGGGAGGCUUGAAGAAACUGGACAGGAGAAAUGAGGAGUUACAGAAACAGAUGAAAAGUCAGGAUCUCCAGGAUUUCAAGGCCAAUCACUUUCUUUUUGAAUGAAAGGUCCUGAAGAAAGGGUGUAGUGUGAUUUUGUGGAUGAGAUCACAGGUCUGUCCUUGACAAUCCAGAGAGCAGUCCUAAAUCAACAGAAGUUGACCCCAACCUCUCAAGUGCCCCACUUGCAAGGACCAGGCUUCUUACAAGAUCAAGUUUUCACUCUGCAGACCUGCCUUUCUCUCAAGGUCCCAGAGUUGUCCAGUGGUGGACCCUACCAUUCUCAACUUGGAUUUGUUCUUUCCCU